rnacentral:lncRNA from 1 species
UCCCAGCAGGACUGAGCCUCAAUUGCCCACAGCAGGAAGCAGCUCAAUCAUGUACCCUUUAAUUGGCUCUCUCUGGAUCUGGGAUGCACUCCUGCUCCCUGGGAUCACUCCUCAAAAUAAACCAUCCGCUUGCUGUGGCAACCGGAAAGGCAAAGCCCCUGCUUUAAAGGAACGAGAGAUUUAAAUCUAGAGCUAGAGAGCGGCUCUAGACAACGGACAGCUGAAAAGAACAAACACAAUAAUAACAUCAUUUUGAUAGUUAGCAGGGCCUUGGAAAAAUUAAACGUGGUCAAGUGGUAGAGCAUGACGGGUAAAAUUGCAUUUAGUGGUUCACAGGUCUCAACAUACAACAGAACCACUUGGAGGGCUUGAAAACACAGAGGCACCUGGGCCCCACACCAGAUUUCCUUAAUUAGCGGACCUGAGUGGGGGCCUCAGAAGCUACUUGUUAGUCUCAGGUGAUGCCGAUGCUGGUGGUCUGGGGACUACGAAUUGAAAACCACUAGAUUAUUUAGAGCUGAAGCAUGAAAAGGAGCCAAGAGUACAAGGAACACAGAGAAGAGAAUCCAGGCAAAGACAUGAUAAACAGAACAAAGAUUUUAGAAGGAGAAGGAUUCGACUGGCUCAGCCUUAAGUGCAGCGAGGAAUACCUCAUCAUCUGAUGCUCAGCAAAAUUACUCAUGGGGAGAAAUACCAGUUCUACAAAAGCACCAAGGAGAAAAAGAGUGUCAUUGAACUUGUUCCUCUCUUCCUGUGUUUUUUAUAAACCAAGAUUUGGAACGAAUGCCUGGAUGAGCUGUGGGUUAAAAGGUUUCAGCAAUCACAUUCCAGAGCUGCAUGGAUGCGAAGCCGUUGGGUGGUAAAACUCCACAUUGCUGCAUCUGAUGACAAAGGUGCGUGUUAACUCCAGCUGCUGCACCGGGAUAGUCAACUGGGAGACAAGCUUGGAGGUGCAGUAGCAAACGGGAGAACACAGGAGAAAACCCACACGGAAGGAAGAAAACACAGAAGCAUCCUAGAUCACUACCCAGAUCAUUGAACCAUGACAUCAACAUCGCUCAUCUACUUUUGGACUUAUCACGUGGGCAGAAGAGACUUUAUUGUCCAAGGGUGCAGUGCCCAUGGCCUCUAAACCAGAUAUAUUCUGUCAAAGACUCUUUUUAGAUUAGAACUUAGAAAAUCAUAACAUACAUUUUGGGCUCUUUCAGAUUUUAUUUUACUCAAAUCCCAAGCACUUUCCUUUUGAUAUGAAAAUAUUGUGUUUCCGUCAUUGUAAGAGAAUUCAGUGACCAUGCAUAAUGGAAAAAGUGGGUCAGCUGGUUGCGUUUCAUAAAGCAAUAGCACCUCCAAGGCUUCAAAAUGUUUGCUUUAUAAACUAACCCUCAGCCUGUCACUUACAAUUUCCGUUUUCAUUAUAAAUAAGCAGCAAAAUGUGCAGACUGUCUGUUUUGCAGUAAAACACAGCUGUUUCCAUUUGCUCUCCCAUCAGUUUCAUUUUCACAUCAUUCUGCAGUGGAAUUGAAUUGAAUCAUUUCAUCUCUGGGACAAGGAGUAUUCUGCAGCUCAGUAGCAGGCGGCCCCUAAUCCUUAAUUUCACUUCCUUCUGUGUUUCCCAAUAGCCUAGAAUUGGGACUUCAGUUUCCAACUGUGGCAUUUGUAAUAUGGAAUUUGGUGGCCUUGGAUACAAAUAAACACCUGACCCCACCUUACUCCUGCAGAAAAUUAGAAAAAUCUUUCUUAAACUCUGAGUAUCAAAAUGUAGUAAGAUUUUUUCAAUUCCAGGGAAUUUUAGAAAGAAGUGUGAGUUUCCAUGACUAGGAAAGAAUGUGGCUUGUAGUGUAUUUCAUAAAGCAGGAAAGAUAAAGAUGAAGUGUGAAUUGUGUUUCUAUCACAAUAAGAGAAGACCUGGUUAUUAAUACUUAACAAUAACUGUCACGUUCAUAGUGUACAUUUUUCAAAUAUUGAGAACACACAAUAUCAUUUAACUUUUUCAACUAUAUUGAUUAUUAUUAACAUUUUAUUAUGAAUAAUGAAAGUGAAGAUUAUAAAUAUUAGCUCAAAGUAACAGGGUCUGGAGCAUAGAACAUGCGUUUUUGAAAGAAUAAAAAAUAGAGGCAUCAAUUAAUAAGUUUUGGAGCUAGAAUUCCAAUCCAUGUACAGUGAGUGCUCCUUUGCCAAAGAGCGCAGUUUCUUACCCCAUGUUUACAUCUCUAAUUUUUAGAGUUAGGCUCUGCUCUAUAAAAGUUGGUUAUGCUGUGUGAGCUCUUGUCUACCUCCUGUGCUAUUCCUUUGCUCUGUGUCGGUGUUCACACUCACAGUGUGAAUUGCUCUAGCAUUCUCAGGUGAAGUCCCACCGACAUGUGUGGAUCCUGUCACUUACUCAUGGAUUACUCAUGGAUGUCCUUGAUCUUACACUUGGCAGAAGGCCCCUAAGGGACAUGAAUUCUCAGAGGUUGGCAGAUAGUUGCAGCGCAAGGCCGUGUGACAUGAAUCCCACUCCCAGGAAAACUGAUAAUUGUGUGAGAGCUCUGGGAACAGUAGGAUUCCCCUGGUUUACAAAUUGGACAGAUGGCUAUGGAGGAUUUUGAUUUUAUUACCUCUUGGGAUUAUUAAAU